rnacentral:lncRNA from 1 species
UCAUGCUGGCAUCAUUCAUUCUCCACGCAUCAGAUGAUCCUGUGGCCCCUCAGUGCCAGGCCCCACUGGCCCUCUGCGCACAUCAGUGACUCUGAUGUUCUCCCCCACCGCAUGCUGCCAAUCUGAUGGUGGAGACAGAACAGCAGUCCCGGAUGGUUUGCAGCUGGGGCAACUGGAAGCAGGAGAGGGACCUGGAGAAAGGAAGGCAAAGAGGUCUCUGUGUUGUCACCUGGAAAAUGGAACUUUCCACCUCCUCGGGAUGUUAUGAUGAUAGAUGUAACAAGCUCAGCACAGUGCCUGUACAGGUGGAGGCAAUGCCCAGAGCUGUGGCAGCCACCUUGCAGCCGUGAAGCACCAGUGGGAAUGACAGUCAAGAGAACCACGGAGAUGCCAGCCCCUGGACCCACAGCAGCAGCACCUGCUUCCAGACUCAGAGUGUGAGAAAAAAAUAAACUCCUAUUUGUUUAUGGCAA